CAAAAGCCUGGUCCUGGCUUUACUGAUCAGCUUUUUCCGUAAUUAUACAUGCAAGUCUCCGCCUCCCUGUGAGAAUGCCCUCGAGCCCCCUGCCGGGCGGAAGGAGCUGGUAUCAGGCACGCACCCCAUGCAGCCCACGACGCCUUGUUUAGCCACACCCCUACGGGAAUUCAGCAGUGAUAGACAUUAAGCAAUAAGUGAAAACUUGACUUAGUUAAAGAAAAUUCAGGGCCGGUAAAUCUCGUGCCAGCCACCGCGGUUAUACGAGAGGCCCAAGUUGGCAAAAACCGGCGUAAAGCGUGGUUAAGAAACUUCACCCCCUAAAGUUGAACCCCUCCUAGGCAGUUAUACGCAUUAGGGGGUGUGAAACCCUUCCACGAAAGUGACUUUAACUUAUUCCGAACCCACGACAGCUAAGAAACAAACUGGGAUUAGAUACCCCACUAUGCCUAGCCGUAAACUUUGACAGAGAAUUCACACCCUCUGUCCGCCCGGGUACUACGAGCAAUAGCUUCAAACCCAAAGGAUUUGGCGGUGCUUCAAAACCCCCUAGAGGAGCCUGUUCUGUAACCGAUAAUCCCCGUUAAACCUCACCACCCCUUGCCAUUUCCGUCUAUAUACCACCGUCGCCAGCUUACCCUUUGAGGGAUAUAUAGUAAGCUAAACUGGUGUAGCCCAGAACGACAGGUCGAGGUGUAGCAUAUGGGGUGGGAAGAAAUGGGCUACAUUCUCUUUAGCAGAGAACUACGGAAGGUGUAAUGAAACUUUCACCCUGAAGGCGGAUUUAGCAGUAAGCAGAAAAUAGAGUGUCCCGCUGAAACAGGCUCUGAAGCGCGUACAUACCGCCCGUCACUCUCCCCAAUUUACCCGACACUCAGUUAAUAACAAAACGGAAUAUAAAUACAGGGGAGGUAAGUCGUAACAUGGUAAGUGUACCGGAAGGUGCACUUGGUUAAAC
rnacentral:ncRNA from 1 species